rnacentral:rRNA from 1 species
AUUAUUGCCCAAUGGGCGAAAGCCUGAUGCAGCCAUGCCGCAUGUGUGAAGAAGCCGUUCGGUUUUAAAGCAUUUCAUAGGGAGGAAAGGGUAUUACUUAAUACGUAAUAUCUGGACGUUACCUACAGAAGAAGGACCGGUUAAUUCCGUGCCAGCAGCCGCGGUAAUACGGAGGGUCCGAGCGUUAAUCGGAAUUCCUGGGGGUAAAGCGUGCCCAGGCGGUUUGUUAAGCCAGAUGUGAAAUCCCCGGCCUCAACCUGGGAAUUGCAUUUGGAACUGCCGAACUAGAGUUUUGUAGAGGGGGGUAGAAUUCCAGGUGUAGCGGUGAAAUGCGUAGAGAUCUGGAGGAAUACCGGUGGCGAAGGCGGCCCCCUGGACAAAGACUGACGUUCAUGCACGAAAGCGUGGGGAGCAAACAGGAUUAGAUACCCUGGUAGUCCACC